GACGAACGCUGGCGGCGUGCUUAACACAUGCAAGUCGAACGGAAAGGCCCUGCUUUUGUGGGGUGCUCGAGUGGCGAACGGGUGAGUAACACGUGAGUAACCUGCCCUUGACUUUGGGAUAACUUCAGGAAACUGGGGCUAAUACCGGAUAGGAGCUCCUGCUGCAUGGUGGGGGUUGGAAAAUUUCGGCGGUUGGGGAUGGACUCGCGGCUUAUCAGCUUGUUGGUGGGGUAGUGGCUUACCAAGGCUUUGACGGGUAGCCGGCCUGAGAGGGUGACCGGCCACAUUGGGACUGAGAUACGGCCCAGACUCCUACGGGAGGCAGCAGUGGGAAAUAUUGCACAAUGGGCGGAAGCCUGAUGCAGCAACGCCGCGUGCGGGAUGACGGCCUUCGGGUUGUAAACCGCUUUCGCCUGUGACGAAGCGUGAGUGACGGUAAUGGGUAAAGAAGCACCGGCUAACUACGUG
rnacentral:rRNA from 1 species